GACGAACGCUGGCGGCGUGCUUAACACAUGCAAGUGGAGCGACGAAGCGGACUUCGGUCCGUGGCAGAGCCGCGAACGGGUGAGUAACACGUGGGUAACCUCCCCCGAUGACCGGGACAACCCGAGGAAACUCGGGCUAAUACCGUAUGUUCUGCGCCCUCUUGAGGGGGUUCAGUACAGAUAGCUUCGGCCUUCGCAUCGGGACGGGCCCGCGGCCAAUUAGCUUGUUGGUGAGGUAACGGCGUACCAAGGCGACGAUGGGUAGCAGGUCUGAGAGGACGAUCAGCCACACUGGGACUGAGACACGGCCCAGACUCCUACGGGAGGCAGCAGUGGGGAAUCUUGCGCAAUGCGCGAAAGCGUGACGCAGCAACGCCGCGUGGGGGAAGAAGGCCUUCGGGUUGUAAACCCCUUUCAGUUGGGACGAAGCUUCCAAGGUUAAUAGCUUUGUGGAGUGACGGUACCUUCAGAAGAAGCCCCGGCUAACUACGUGCCAGCCGCCGCAGUAAUAC
rnacentral:rRNA from 1 species